rnacentral:rRNA from 1 species
AUUGAACGCUGGCGGCAGGCCUAACACAUGCAAGUCGAAUGGUAACAGGAAACAGCUUGCUGUUUCGCUGACGAGUGGCGGACGGGUGAGUAAUGUCUGGGAAACUGCCUGAUGGAGGGGGAUAACUACUGGAAACGGUAGCUAAUACCGCAUAACGUCGCAAGACCAAGAGGGGGACCUUCGGGCCUCUUGCCAUCAGAUGUGCCCAGAUGGGAUUAGCUAGUAGGUGGGGUAACGGCUCACCUAGGCGACGAUCCCUAGCUGGUCUGAGAGGAUGACCAGCCACACUGGAACUGAGACACGGUCCAGACUCCUACGGGAGGCAGCAGUGGGGAAUAUUGCUCAAUGGGCGCAAGCCUGAUGCAGCCAUGCCGCGUGUAUGAAGAAGGCCUUCGGGUUGUAAAGUACUUUCAGCGGGGAGGAAGGGAGUAAAGUUAAUACCUUUGCUCAUUGACGUUACCCGCAGAAGAAGCACCGGCUAACUCCGUG